ACAGAGGUCCCAAGCGUUGUUCGGAUUCACUGGGCGUAAAGGGUGCGUAGGUGGUUAAAUAAGUUUGAUGUGAAAUCUCCGAGCUUAACUCGGAAACUGCAUUGAAUACUGUUUGACUAGAGGAUUGGAGGGGGGACUGGAAUUCUCGGUGUAGCAGUGAAAUGCGUAGAUAUCGAGAGGAACACCAGUGGCGAAGGCGAGUCCCUGGACAACUCCUGACACUGAGGCACGAAAGCUAGGGGAGCAAACAGGAUUAGAUACCCUGGUAGUCCUAGCUGUAAACGGUGCAUAUUUGCUGUAAAAGGAAUCGACCCCUUUUGUGGCGUAGCUAACGCGAUAAAUAUGCCGCCUGGGAAGUACGGUCGCAAGAUUA
rnacentral:rRNA from 1 species